UACGGAGGAUGCAAGCGUUAUCCGGAUUCAUUGGGUUUAAAGGGUCCGCAGGCGGAACUGUAAGUCAGGGGUGAAAUCCUACGGCUCAACCGUAGAACUGCCCUUGAUACUGCUGUUCUAGAGUACAGUUGAGGUGGGCGGAAUGUGUCAUGUAGCGGUGAAAUGCAUAGAUAUGACACAGAACACCGAUCGCGAAGGCAGCUCACCAAGCUGUAACUGACGCUCAGGGACGAAAGCGUGGGGAGCAAACAGG
rnacentral:rRNA from 1 species